GUCCCUGUCGUGCAAUGGUUAGCGCAUUGAACUUCUAAUUCAGAAGUCGUGGGUUCAAAUCCCACCUGGGAUG